CCAUAUGGUGCAGCUUUGUGCUGGUGUAUGUACAUCUUUCAUUCUUUCCUUUCUCCCAUGGGCAACCAUCCAUCAUCCAUCACCGCACUGUGUUCAGCAUUCUGCCAGUACAACCUACACCUCUCCAGGGGUACAUUCUGCUUCAGGGAAAGUAAAAGCUUUGUCAGCUCUACUGUGCCAAAUGCAUUCUCCUGCAAAUGGUACUUCCCACAAAACAAGAAUAGUGAAAAUCUUCACUCGCUAAGAGCCACUCAAGUUAUACCUUACUGCACCACAGUGGAAGCACAGACAUCUGUCAGCAUGGCAGCCCUAUGCAGGGAUCAGUAGCAGAGCUGAGACAAUGCUGGCCAAGACAUCGCACCACGUUUGUGAAGUACAUUCUGUGAGCAGGCAAACGGGAGGCAAAGAGCCAGGGAGGUCUGGGGUCACUGAGCCCAUGAUUGCUUUGCCCAGGGGCUGGAACCACAACAUCAGAAAUGUCUCCAAACUCCUCUGGGGAAUUCCAGCUGCAGAAGUGUCCACCACCUUGCCUUUGACUUGGGAAAACCACGUGUCACUGCCAGGCUGCGGAAUCAUCCACUGCGCUGUCUUUGUCUAGGCAACCGUGUGGAACUCAUCAGGGUGCUGAGCACCUUUCUGUGUGUAAUUCACCCCCUCUUUUAUAUACUUUUGUUAUCAAUAUUGCUGCUGCUACUGUUUGUCCCUUAUUCCAUUGAUCGUUAUCAGUAGAUGGUUGUCUCAAUCCACAGCCUCUGCCUUUGUCUCUCUCUCACUGGAGGAAGGCAGGGGGAAGAGGGAGGACUCAUUUGGAGUUUUAAUCCCCUGCUGAUUUUAAGACAAUACAGCAGAGCUGUAGGAAGGAAAUCCU